rnacentral:rRNA from 1 species
GAUGAACGCUGGCGGCGUGCCUAACACAUGCAAGUCGAACGAGAACCCAUUCUUCGGAUUGGGGGACAGUGGCGAACGGGUGAGUAACACGUUGGUGACCUGCCCCGAAGACGGGAACAACCCUUCGAAAGGGGGGUUAAUGCCCGAUGUGCUUGCGUCUCUUAGAAGGACACAAGUAAAGCUCCGGCGCUUUGGGAUGGGCCUGCGGCCGAUUAGCUAGUUGGUAGGGGUAAUGGCCUACCAAGGCGAUGAUCGGUAGCUGGUCUGAGAGGACGAUCAGCCACACUGGCACUGAGAUACGGGCCAGACUCCUACGGGAGGCAGCAGUAAGGAAUAUUGCGCAAUGGGGGAAACCCUGACGCAGCAACGCCGCGUGGGUGAUGAAGGUUUUCGGAUCGUAAAACCCUUUUCUGGGGGAUGAGAAAGGACAGUACCCCAGGAAUAAGUCUCGGCUAACUACGUG